AACCGUAGAAGCACAUACCGGGCUAGGAACUGGUGUGUGUGGAGGUUUACAAAGGUAAGGGGUUUACCAUAGCCUAGCUAGGUGAAAACCGAAAGAAAAUCCCACAA
rnacentral:ncRNA from 1 species